rnacentral:lncRNA from 1 species
GGUUUUCCACUCCCAAGUGGCUAGAUGUGGCUUCAUCCCUUUCUUCCUCUCCUUGUCUCUUGCAGAGCCUCACUGUCUUCCUGGAGGCCUUAGAGGGCACUGAGUCUGUCAUCCAGAAGGACAAGUUUCUGGACGUCAUGAGUGCCGUGUUCUACCAGGUAAGGGGAGCCUAUCCCUGUGCCCACAGCAGUUUCCCUCUUGCCUAAGUCUCAGGAGGACUGCAAAGGUCUGAGCACCUGACUAAUGCAGCUCAGCCUUGGCUCCUGCAUGCUCACGGCUGUUCCAGAGCCGUGCCUGUCCCCCCAGGGAUGCUCUGAGGCAGGCUGGGUUUUGUCUGCCUGUGCUCUUCCUGAGAGUGCCCAGGGAGACGAGAGCAGCAGCACAGUGUCUUUUCCGUCCUCAGUGCUGAUGUGAUUUUCUCAUAUGGACUUUGUUCCCACAGCUCUAUGACAACACCAAGCAGCACAGCGAGGCUGAUCGAGCGGAGCUGACCCACUGCAUCCUGCUGCAGACCCGGAUCUGCCCAGAGGAAAUGGUCCUGUUUCUGCAGUCACAGCUGGGCGAGGACUGGGAGGCUGGACGCGUGGCAGCACUGGGUCUGCUCGGUGCUCUGGCUCGCUCUGAUGAGCCCGUGAUGAUGGAGAAGCUGCCCCAAGUUGUUGAGGCUGUGCAGUGUCUGUGCAGCGACCUCAGGAUCCGGGUGAGCUGCUUUGGGAAAGGAAAGCUCUUUUGGGGUGGUGAUGCUGCUGCCAACACGGGCAGGGCUGGGGUGACUAGAGAGGUGCUGGGGCAUUGACCACACGGUCGCGAUGGCUCCUGUGGGAGAGCAGGCAGAGUGGAGCG